rnacentral:misc_RNA from 1 species
GUUUAAAAUAACUUUGAUUCGAUUUGAAACCUCAAAAAUCAUACACAGCCCUAUCCAGAAGGGCUUAGAAUUUGCUAAAAAUACAAUACUUACUAAACCUUUUACAUGACACGGUCAGGCCAAAAAUCUCCGACAUCAUAACAUCAGAAGUAUAAUCAGAUGAAGAAAUAGCCUUUCCACAGCAAAUUAGCCAAAGUGCACCAGAAGCUAUACUUUCACAUUGCAACUAUUCCGAAUAUUAAGUGGGAAAUGAUAUAGGCCUAGCAAAUUAAAGAAAUUCUUCACAUCCAAAUCAACUUUCAGA